rnacentral:rRNA from 1 species
UGGGGAAUAUUGCACAAUGGGCGCAAGCCUGAUGCAGCCAUGCCGCGUGUGUGAAGAAGGCCUUCGGGUUGUACAGCACUUUCAGCGGGGAGGAAGGCGAUAAGGUUAAUAACCUCAUCGAUUGACGUUACCCGCAGAAGAAGCACCGGCUAACUCCGUGCCAGCAGCCGCGGUAAUACGGAGGGUGCAAGCGUUAAUCGGAAUUACUGGGCGUAAAGCGCACGCAGGCGGUCUGUCAAGUCGGAAGUGAAAUCCCCGGGCUCAACCUGGGAACUGCAUUCGAAACUGGCAGGCUAGAGUCUUGUAGAGGGGGGUAGAAUUCCAGGUGUAGCGGUGAAAUGCGUAGAGAUCUGGAGGAAUACCGGUGGCGAAGGCGGCCCCCUGGACAAAGACUGACGCUCAGGUGCGAAAGCGUGGGGAGCAAACAGG